rnacentral:rRNA from 1 species
UACAGAGGUCCCAAGCGUUGUUCGGAUUCACUGGGCGUAAAGGGCGCGUAGGUGGUUUGAUAAGGGUGUGGUGAAAGUCCGGGGCUCAACCCCGGAUCUGCCGUGCCGACUGUCAAACUCGAGGGCUGUAGAGGCAGACGGAAUUCCGGGUGUAGCGGUGGAAUGCGUAGAUAUCUGGAGGAACACCGGUGGCGAAGGCGGCAUCCUGGACCGACACUGACGCUAAGGAGCGAAAGCCAGGGGAGCAAACGGG